rnacentral:rRNA from 1 species
AUCUAGGCUGAAGCUUGUCGCGUGCGGGAUGGAGGCUUCGGGUUGUAAACCGCUUUUGAUCGGGAGCAAGCCCUUCGGGGUGAGUGUACCUUUCGAAUAAGCACCGGCUAACUACGUGCCAGCAGCCGCGGUAAUACGUAGGGUGCAAGCGUUAUCCGGAAUUAUUGGGCGUAAAGGGCUCGUAGGCGGUUCGUCGCGUCCGGUGUGAAAGCCCAUCGCUUAACGGUGGGUCUGCGCCGGGUACGGGCGGGCUGGAGUGCGGUAGGGGAGACUGGAAUUCCCGGUGUAACGGUGGAAUGUGUAGAUAUCGGGAAGAACACCAAUGGCGAAGGCAGGUCUCUGGGCCGUCACUGACGCUGAGGAGCGAAAGCGUGGGGAGCGAACAGGAUUAGAUACCCUGGUAGUCCACGCCGUAAACGGUGGAUGCUGGAUGUGGGGCCCGUUCCACGGGUUCCGUGUCGGAGCUAACGCGUUAAGCAUCCCGCCUGGGGAGUACGGCCGCAAGGCUAAAACUCAAAGAAAUUGACGGGGGCCCGCACAAGCGGCGGAGCAUGCGGAUUAAUUCGAUGCAACGCGAAGAACCUUACCUGGGCUUGACAUGUUCCCGACAGCCGUAGAGAUAUGGCCUCCCUUCGGGGCGGGUUCACAGGUGGUGCAUGGUCGUCGUCAGCUCGUGUCGUGAGAUGUUGGGUUAAGUCCCGCAACGAGCGCAACCCUCGCCCUGUGUUGCCAGCACGUCAUGGUGGGAACUCACGGGGGACCGCCGGGGUCAACUCGGAGGAAGGUGGGGAUGACGGUCGAUCAUCAUGCCCCUUACGUCCAGGGCUUCACGCAUGCUACAAUGGCCGGUACAGCGGGAUGCGACUUGGCGACUUGGAGCGGAUCCCUGAAAACCGGUCUCAGUUCGGAUUGGAGUCUGCAACCCGACUCCCUGAAGGCGGAGUCGCUAGUAAUCGCGGAUCAGCACGCCGCGGUGAAUGCGUUCCCGGGCUGUUCACACCGCCGGCCAGUCUUGAAUUGGCCGCACCCGAAACCGGUGCCUCACCCCUUGUGGGUAUGAGCCGUCUAGGGUGAGGCUCGUGAGUGGGACUUAGCUCGUAACAGGGUUCGCGUGCCGGAAGGUCCGGCUG